rnacentral:misc_RNA from 1 species
UACGGGAGGCAGCAGUGGGGAAUUUUGGACAAUGGGGAAACCUGAUCCAGCCAUCCCGCGUGUGCGAUGAAGGCCUUCGGGUUGUAAACACUUUUGGCAGGAAAACGGCACAGGAUAAUACGAUGCAACUGACGGCACCUGCAGAAUAAGCACCGGCUAACUACGUGCCAGCAGCCGCGGUAAUACGUAGGGUGCAAGCGUUACUCAGGAAUUACUGGGCGUAAAGCGUGCGCAGGCGGUUCGGAAGAAGAUGUGAAAUCCAGAGCUUGCUUUGGAACUGCAUUUUUAACUACCGAGCUGAGUGUGUCAGAGGAGGUGGAAUUCCGCGUGUAGCAGUGAAAUGCACGUAGAUAUGCGGAGGAACACCAUUAGCGAGGCAGCCUCCUGGGAUAACACUGACGCUCAUGCACGAAAGCGUGGGAGCAAACAGGAUUAGAUGCCGCCUUAAGU